UUUUCCUAUCAAAUUAUGUGC
ensembl:piRNA 21ur-12654 ncRNA